rnacentral:rRNA from 1 species
UAGCGGCGGACGGGUGAGUAAUGCUUAGGAAUCUGCCUAUUAGUGGGGGACAACAUUCCGAAAGGAAUGCUAAUACCGCAUACGUCCUACGGGAGAAAGCAGGGGACCUUCGGGCCUUGCGCUAAUAGAUGAGCCUAAGUCGGAUUAGCUAGUUGGUGGGGUAAAGGCCUACCAAGGCGACGAUCUGUAGCGGGUCUGAGAGGAUGAUCCGCCACACUGGGACUGAGACACGGCCCAGACUCCUACGGGAGGCAGCAGUGGGGAAUAUUGGACAAUGGGGGGAACCCUGAUCCAGCCAUGCCGCGUGUGUGAAGAAGGCCUUUUGGUUGUAAAGCACUUUAAGCGAGGAGGAGGCUACUAGUAUUAAUACUACUGGAUAGUGGACGUUACUCGCAGAAUAAGCACCGGCUAACUCUGUGCCAGCAGCCGCGGUAAUACAGAGGGUGCGAGCGUUAAUCGGAUUUACUGGGCGUAAAGCGUGCGUAGGCGGCUGAUUAAGUCGGAUGUGAAAUCCCUGAGCUUAACUUAGGAAUUGCAUUCGAUACUGGUCAGCUAGAGUAUGGGAGAGGAUGGUAGAAUUCCAGGUGUAGCGGUGAAAUGCGUAGAGAUCUGGAGGAAUACCGAUGGCGAAGGCAGCCAUCUGGCCUAAUACUGACGCUGAGGUACGAAAGCAUGGGGAGCAAACAGGAUUAGAUACCCUGGUAGUCCAUGCCGUANACGAUGUCUACUAGCCGUUGGGGCCUUUGAGGCUUUAGCGGCGCAGCUAACGCGAUAAGUAGACCGCC